GCGCUAUAGAGAGACUAAUGGGCGUAGCCCGCCUUGAAUUCCCAGUCCGAGGCGCACAAGCAGGCCCCGAAAUUGGCAGCCGAGAGUGUAUCCUCGCCGCGGCGUGACCCGUGAGGCUGGUGGCAGAAAUCUAUUAGCGCUUGCUUGCUUGCUCGCUCGCUGGCGUCUCCCAUUUCUCAUUCCUCUUCUCUUCCCCUCCUUUCCCGCCACAGAGAGAGAGAGAGAGAGAGAAGAGAAGCAUCAGCUUCGAGAUGAAAAAUUGCUCGCGGUCUAUUCAGGAGGAGGCAAAGGAAGAGUCAGCCCCAGGGGCAGCCCGGGCCUGAUUGAAAAAUAAGUUAAUUUCAGUUUGAAUCGAUGGGCUUCAGGCACUGAAAUAUCACGGGAAAUUAAAGCGGCUGCUCCCCGGGGAUCGGCGCCAUUGACCCGCGCUAAUUAAUGCCGUGGCGGUGAAGUUCCCGCUCGCUUCUCCGCGGCGCAGGCGCCCCCUCCCUGCAGUGGCACAGCCCUGCGCGCCCUCACGCCACCAGCUUUUUCUCAUUUAACUAAUUAGGCUGGAAAAUUGGGUGUUAAUUUGUUUAGGAAUCUUUCUCUCUCUCUUUUUUUUUUUUUUACUCCCCCCCUCCCCAAUAGCUCUUCUUUUCUCUCUUUCCCUUGCCUCCCUCCCCUUUCCCUUUCCAGGGAAAGCAAAUUCUGCCCCCGGCGGAAUGGAAAUGAAUGGAGGAUGGGGGGGCGCUCGCUGGCAGAUGGAUGCUCGGGGGUCACUCCGCAAUCUUCUCCGACUUGAUUGCUUGAUUAGGUCGUUAGCACAUUAAAAAAAAAAUUGCUCGCCGUCUGGCGCUGGCCUGAUGAGUGGGACGAGGCGGGAAUCGCCUGGGUAAUUUAUCUUUUUAUACGGCAAAGAAUUUGAUUUCAAUCUGCAGAUAUAUGGAGGCGCCUUUUGACACCUGUUUAACAUUAUAGAGCUGACAGCUUAACCCUCUGAUGACUCCGCUGGGCGGACAGUAGAAACCAGCCAGAACAGAGCAGCGGAGGUCUCUCCACUACCAUUCAUAUUGGGACCAGUUUUAUUUAUUAUUAUUUGGGGGGGGGGGGUUGGCUCCAGAAGAUCCCCUGUCAGGAAGGGGAUGGUGCCAGAGGGGCUUUAUAAGCGGAGAGAUGGGGAGCUGCGUGACGGCUGCUGCCAACAAAUACCUCCCCCCUCCUCCAUUGGUGGACCCCCUAUGAUUAGUUGCAGAAAAGACAUUUUUCAUAUACAAAUUUUAACUGCAUCAUAAACUGGGAAUUAAUAAGGCUGCAGUCCCAAGCACGUUUUGUACUUGGGAGUUAAAACCCCCAUCAAAUCCAAAGCUCUUCUUCUUCUUCAUCUUCUUCUUCAUCAUCAUCAUCCCACACCCAGUAUUUUUUUCUAUGUAAUGCUUUCUCGCCCGUAGUAAUGCAGUUGUGCUCUGGAGUCUGGACCUGCUUUAUGUUAAUAUAGGACAAGCACGAUGCGAUCCAGAAGUAACUCCCGCUGAAUUCAAUGGGACUUUCUCCCUAAUACUUAUGAAACCAGCCUUAGAAAUCAGUGGACUGCACAGGUAGUCGAGGAAGCAGGCACUUGGGGUACAGCUAUUUAAAGGAUUCCGAUGGAGAGGUGAACCCCAGGACACUUGGGUGCAACUCUUAGAUCAUGCGCAGAGGCAGCUUGAACUUGGAGGUGGCCAUGGAGGAAAAACUUUAUUAAUCAACCGGCAAUUUGCUGCCCCUUAAUAACAUCCAAAAAUGUGGCAGCAGAGAGGUGAACUGCCUCAUUCAGUUUAAUGGUGGGGUGCCCUCCUCCUGUCUGAGGUGGGAAACUGACAGGGGUUUGCCAUGGUGGAUCUGUUUUAUAAAGUGGAGCCUCUCUGGUGUGGAGGAAGAUGUCACUUAUUUAAAGCUUCUCUGAUCUAUGCCGUUGGUGCUUGCUUUCAGGGAUUGCUGCUGCGGCAGUUGUUUUAUUUUUUUAUUUCGUCUUUGGAAAGGCAUAUCCAUUAAAGUCUAAUCGAACCUUAAACUGGUAAGGCUUUCUAGGAAGGUCUAAGCAGCCAUCAAAGGAACUGCUGGAGAGAGUACAGGAUCUCAGGCAACCGUUUUUCAGAGAGUUGAAACUGGUUUGAGACAUACUUCUUUUGCUCCGUUCUCACCUCUUGUCAAACAGGUUUUGCAGUUACAGGUAGGUAGCAGUAUUGGUCUGCCGUAGUCGAAACAAAAGAAAAAAAUUCCUUCCAGUAGCACCUUAGAGACCAACUAAGUUUGUCAGUGGUAUGAGCUUUCGUGUGCAUGCACACUUCUUCAGAUACACUCAAACAGAAGGUUUUGCAGGUUUGGAGAACAAUGCAAAACCCUCCAAAAUGGGUUUAGCAGAGGCAAAUGUGGACAUGCAUGUUGUUGUUGUUGUUGUUGUUGUUGUUGUUGUUGUUGUUGCAGCAUCUCUCUACAUUGCACUUUACAAAGAACUGGUAUAACAGAUCCCUACAUCAAGGGGCUUACAAUCUAAAGUAGGCACAGGAAAAUAACAGAGGAAGUGGGAAAUGGAGGCAUGGGUAGAAUACUGUGGUUACAGUACUUUAAUUACACUUACUUUGUCUUAAUUAUAAUAGCAGUCAGAGGAAUGCUGCAAAGGAGGCAUACACACUUUGAGCAGUGCCCCUCUUUCAAACUGCCAUGGGGGAGGUGGGGGCGAAGGGGAGUGAUCUGUCUUCAGCCCUACCUAGUCUUGUCUGCCCAUUUCAUUCUCCUCUUCCACGCUCAGAGAAUAUUUUCACUCCUAGGUACUAACACAGCAAUAUUAUCGUUUAUCAGGAGGUAAUGUACCAGUGUCUGCUUAUAAUUUCAUGGUGGUAAAUCAGUUGCCUGCCAAGUGGUGAAGAUUUUUUUAGAAUCAUAUAUCGGCACUUAGCCAAAAAUCUAGAAAAUCAGGGAACAUCCACCUUACAGGUUGCCAAGAUGUUAACAGUAGACCAUCUUAUCAAGGGGUUACAUGCAUAACUAAAUUUUCAUUUAGCAAAUGUCAUUUGCAGCCUUGUACACAGAAUUUAGGGACAUACACAGUAAUUUUUAUAUAAGUGUCCUGUUCCAAUGAGGGAAGUCUGAGUGUGUAAGGAGGCUUCCAUGAUCACAGCCACAGUACAGAUGUUCAUUUGGGGGUACAUUUGCACCCAAAUUUUGAUGCCUCCCACUGAAUUGGAUGGAUGUGUCUUUGGGGUGCAGUUGGGAAUGCCUAUCCAACACCACUAGUUGUUGCAUGUGACUAGAGAGGGAUUGUAGCCAUGAGGCCUUAAACUCCACCUCUUUUGUUGACCACCAGCAUUACGCUUUCCAUGGGCUUUGAAGACACUCGAACUCAGGACGCAAGGGAGAAACGUGCUAGGAGAAGGCACGCUUGGCAAAUCCACACUGUGAUCAGCUCCCACCCGGCAACCAAUGUCCCCACUGUGGAAGGACUUGUGGAUCCAGAAUUGGCCUCCACAGUCAUUUACGGACUCAUUGUUAAAACCGUGUUUAUGGAAGACAAUCUUACUCGGCUACGAGUCAUCGCCAAAGAAGAAGAAACUCCAUUAAAUCUCUACAGUACAAUGGGAAUGUGUGGUCAAAGUUAAUGUAGAAUAGAUAGGCAUUUCUGAAAAACAGGGCAAAGAUGCUUUAACGUGUGAAAAUGCCUCCUCAUCCAGCCCUCCCUUAGCAGUCUUGCUGCUUCUACUCAUUUUAUCUUGCCUUCCAUGUAAUUUAUUUCCUUGUCCACCAGAUGGCUCUUGUGCAAUGAGAUUUCACACUGUCUAUUAUACUUCCUUCCCAUGUCCUUUGAUGUACAAAUCCAGACCACAGCAACUCUCUCUCUUUGCAGACAACAAAUGGUACGUUGACAGAAUGGGCCAGAUAUGCCAUGAUACUUAAUUUUGGGUAGACAAAGAUAAAGACUAGGACUAGCCGCCUGAGAGACAGUUUCUAUUCAAAUGCGAUUUUGGUUUUAAACCCAGUGUAAGGUAGUCUCUGUGGGAGUAUAUUAUAUUUAAUUAUGGGGUAUCAGAGUUUUUAGGGGGCUAACCAGGCUGGGAUAGCAGGCUUGUUGGUUUCUGAAUGUCUGAUGUAGAUUUUCAAUUUCGUUCUGUAUGGGAC